CUUGCCUAUUUCGGGUCUUCAGCACAAGUCUACAGGGGUUACAACUGAAUGCCAAGUUAACGCCAAUUACGAACGGACCUAAUAGUGACAAGAAGAUUCGCCGGGAUUACAUCACCGUGCUAACAAUAGCUGGGAAUGCUCGGGAUAAGCGUGAACAGUUGCUUCUGCCAUUUCAACCAGUGAGAGCUUCUUUGGCCCACCUGUCCGGUUGUCUGAUCAGGGGGCAUCUGGAGACUGGAGGCUGCCAGAGAGCUGACAGACUUGCACCCAGAUUAAGAUGCUUCUGAUGGAGUCCGCCAGGAGGAACAGCAGGCACCAUUCAUCCUGGUGCAAAACAGCAGAUCGGGCCAGUAUUCGAGGGAUGAAUCCCAAAUGGCGAUGUGUGGUGGUCCAA